rnacentral:lncRNA from 1 species
GUCCAUUUUCAACAGUUAACAUCUCAGGUACACAGUGCACUACAAUCCAUUUCUCCUCCUUUUUUGGAAGGGGGAUUCAGGGAAGGUUUUCCACAAAGACCACUAUCCCUUCCCCUUUGUACCCCAGGAAAUGGUUCUAAGUUUCAAGACACAGACACCAACACCAAUAAAGAUACGAGUGCAGAACUGGGUAUGUCUUUAUGGGACGGCCCUCUAGGUGACAAUCCUACAGGUUCCUCUGCAGUCAUCCCCAUCCUACCCCAAAGCCACAAGUCAUGGUCUUUCAGAUCUCUUGGAUCCUUCCUGCUCUUUGUAGAAUCCAAGAAUGUUACAGCAAAAUCAAACAGAAGCUUAGAGAUCAUCCAGUCCAGGGAGGGGCAGGGAGCAGGGGAAGAAGAGAAGGACUUUUCUAUCUUUCUGCUGGCCUUUUUGAGGGCUCACUGUAAUUCUCCAUUCCCCUCACCCCACUCCUGGGUGGGAGAGGGGAUGACUCCUUGACUCCCACCCCUUGGCCAUUUUUCAUUGUUCUGUCUUGAUCCCAAGGACUGUAGCUGAUAUGGCCAGAGCUUAGGACUGUGGCUCUCUAUUCACAUAUUCCAUCUCCCUAAACAUCUGUAUUACCCAUUAUAAAUAAGGCCUUCCAGGGGAAAUAGGUGCAAGGAAGAUGCUUUUUAUAGAAAAAAAAAAAAAAUGGUCUCUUCUAAAUCCAAAUCCCUGGAUAAAUUCCUGCAAUCUGCAUUGAGCUGUACAGCAAAGGCCAGCCUGAGGGUGAUUCACCAGUAGGUCAAGCAAGGCCCAAGGCCCAGCCCUCAUUCUGUGUAUUUGUGGGAGUGGGGAGGAGGUGAAAGUUGAAGAGGAAAGAGUAGCCACAAAACUCCAAAUCUGGUAGCUGUGGGGUGCCGCUGAAAUCAGAAGAGAAAGACAACUUCUUGGUUCAUCAAGUGAAGGCUUGGAGGGGGACAAUGGAGUUUUCUCAGGCCAUCAAUACAGCUCAGGCCCAAAUAGCCUAAAUACUGUCCCCAGCUGUUUUCUUUAAAGCAGAAAGGUUCUUCUAGUGGAAGGCUUGCUGCUCUUUCUUGGUGUGUCUCAGAGUCAGAACAGGUGCUCCCAGGAGGGAGCCUCCUUAUCUAUUGGGUGAAACAAUGGUCACAGGCUCGCUCUUUUCUCUUAGCACCAGCAAAGCUCAUGCCUUUACCACCCAGUGCUAUGGCAGAGUAUCUCAGGCAGAAUGUUUGAACUGAAGGGCCUUAGGCCUCUGAGUCUAAAUCCCUUAUUUUCCUGGGCUUCCCCAUUCGGGGCCUCUCAAAGUGGGUACCAGACACGUUUGGGAGAACGCAACCUUUAAUCACAAUCAGAGCUGAGCAGCCACCAGGAAAUACAGUUAGGACUGAGAGCUGAUUAACAACUAGCCAUUUGGCUUUUUUUUUUUCCACUUUCAUAUUAAAAUAAUUUGGGGAGGGAAAAAGAAGAGGCCAGUGUUUCUCGGCAUCGUGACGCAGAAUUCUGCUUUCUUCUCCCAG